rnacentral:rRNA from 1 species
AUUGAACGCUGGCGGCAGGCCUAACACAUGCAAGUCGAGCGGAUGAAGGGAGCUUGCUCCUGGAUUCAGCGGCGGACGGGUGAGUAAUGCCUAGGAAUCUGCCUGGUAGUGGGGGAUAACGUCCGGAGACGGGCGCUAAUACCGCAUACGUCCUGAGGGAGAAAGUGGGGGAUCUUCGGACCUCACGCUAUCAGAUGAGCCUAGGUCGGAUUAGCUAGUUGGUGGGGUAAAGGCCUACCAAGGCGACGAUCCGUAACUGGUCUGAGAGGAUGAUCAGUCACACUGGAACUGAGACACGGUCCAGACUCCUACGGGAGGCAGCAGUGGGGAAUAUUGGACAAUGGGCGAAAGCCUGAUCCAGCCAUGCCGCGUGUGUGAAGAAGGUCUUCGGAUUGUAAAGCACUUUAAGUUGGGAGGAAGGGCAGUAAGUUAAUACCUUGCUGCUUUGACGUUACCAACAGAAUAAGCACCGGCUAACUUCGUG